rfam:Eucalyptus grandis cultivar BRASTZ1 unplaced genomic scaffold scaffold_9, whole genome shotgun sequence.
AAGAUUAGAGACUUUCUGACUAGCCAAGGAGACUGCCUGAUACCAGGACAAACUACUCGAACGCUCAGCUCAGCUCGAAUAGGGCGAGUUCAGAGCAGGCAAGUCAUCCUUGGCUACCAAAUGAGACUCUCAUCU